UGUUUAUUAGAGUUAAUGUUUAUUAGAUUUAACAAUGUUUUGGUUUCGCCAUCGGAGGGCGCUCAGUACCACAUGCAACAGCGGGUGACCCUCUGGCAGGCUGUAGGAGUCCGCCAUUGCCGAGAGGACAGCUUGUUGCAGCGGAUGUUGGGAGCGCUACUGUAACCGCUGUAUAUUCUUUUUACAGGUAAGCUGAGUAUUAGAAUGUAUAGCUCGUAACGCCAGUAGCCUCCGAUGGGUACGGAAUGACACAACAAAGGCGCUUCAGUAUAGCUGCAUUACUGAGCUAGAUAUAAAGCAGGAGUUAGCACCAGGCUAAAGUAGCGAGGCUAACGGCUCACGCUUGGCUCGCGCUUAUGUGGGCUCGGUGGGUCGGCUUAAUAGGGCCGCAACAUGUGUUUUAAACUUAUGUAUUGUUUGAGUUCAGUUGAGUUAAUGAAAGUAUGUUGGAUGUAGAUGUACAGUGAUGUCAGUAGAGAGCAUGUGUAUUUGUUGUAGUACCACAUGCAACAGCGGGUGACCCUCUGGCAGGCUGUAGGAGUCCGCCAUUGCCGAGAGGACAGCUUGUUGCAGCGGAUGUUGGGAGCGCUACUGUAACCGCUGUAUUUUCUUUUUACAGAGGAACUCCAACAAA